UCAGCUGGCAUGGCAACCUGCAAAGAGGGCUGAAGACCCAGGUCAGGGUAAAAGAGUCUCUGACUUGAAGAUUAUGCCUAGAACAAGAACAGCUUUUAGAGUUUGUAAAUGGUGUCCACAACAAAUUGGAUGUUCCAGUGGCAUAUGUGACCGACAAGAGGUUUCACCCAAUAUCCAUUGAAGUCAUGUCAAGUCUUUUCAUGGACUUCAGCAGGCUUUGGAUCAAGUCCCAAGUUAUUUUCUACCAUGUAUCACACCAGUGCACCUCAGGUCAGGAAAUAAGAUCUCUGCAACUCCAUCUAAAUACUUUCCUGAAAGAGUAGCUACAACACUAAGUAAAACAAAGAUUUUUUUGUUCAUUACUCAGUUUAUGGCCACAAUGCAAGGAAAAUACCGUUUGGGCCCUUGCCAGGCACAAAGUGAAGCAAAACUGGUCUUGGGACUGUGUUCCAGUGACAGCUGUGCCGGAUUACCUUUCUUCCAAAAAAAGAUAUUUUAACAUGGAAAAUAAAGGAGAGAUGUCUG